CUCGUUGUUUUAAUUUCGGUACUUCCUUUUCCGGAAUCCAUGUUGCCAUGGAGACCAGCUAGCAAACUUUGCUUCAUUACACAGCAUAUUUCUGGAUACCCUGGAUGGCGUUCCGAAUAAUGACGUCAUUAAGUGAUGGCAGCUCCCGAUGGCGUUUGAGAGCCAUAAUUCAGUAUAAGUAGCAGACCGCUGGCCCCCUCUUGUGGUGACCGGAAAGUCACAUGAACAAUUCCUCCAGGCCUGUCUUCCUCUUCUGGAGGAUCUCUCCUACUGUUUAUCAAUUAAAAGUACAUCGUUA